rnacentral:rRNA from 1 species
GGGUCAGUAGGUUGGUCGUGCCACCGGUACGUACUGGUCUCACUGAUUCCUCCUUCCUGAAGAACCGUAAUGCCAUUAAUUUGGUGUUGCGGGGAAACAGGACUGUUACUUUGAAUAAAUUAGAGCGUUUAAAGCAAGCUAACGCUUGAAUACCUUAGCAUGGAAUAAUGAAAUAGGACGAUCGAUCCUAUUUUGUUGGUUUCUAGGAUUGACGUA